rnacentral:rRNA from 1 species
GACGUAGGGUGCGAGCGUUGUCCGGAUUUAUUGGGCGUAAAGAGCUCGUAGGCGGCUUGUCGCGUCUGCUGUGAAAACUCGGGGCUUAACUCCGGGCCUGCAGUGGGUACGGGCAGACUAGAGUGCGGUAGGGGAGACUGGAAUUCCUGGUGUAGCGGUGAAAUGCGCAGAUAUCAGGAGGAACACCGGUGGCGAAGGCGGGUCUCUGGGCCGUAACUGACGCUGAGGAGCGAAAGCGUGGGGAGCGAACAGG